AGUGAGCGCUGGCGGUAGGCCUAACACAUGCAAGUCGAACGGCAGCACAGUAAGAGCUUGCUCUUACGGGUGGCGAGUGGCGGACGGGUGAGGAAUACAUCGGAAUCUACUUUUUCGUGGGGGAUAACGUAGGGAAACUUACGCUAAUACCGCAUACGACCUACGGGUGGAAGCAGGGGAUCUUCGGACCUUGCGCGAUUGAAUGAGCCGAUGUCGGAUUAGCUAGUUGGCGGGGUAAAGGCCCACCAAGGCGACGAUCCGUAGCUGGUCUGAGAGGAUGAUCAGCCACACUGGAACUGAGACACGGUCCAGACUCCUACGGGAGGCAGCAGUGGGGAAUAUUGGAAAAUGGGCGCAAGCCUGAUCCAGCCAUACCGCGUGGGUGAAGAAGGCCUUCGGGUUGUAAAGCCCUUUUGUUGGGAAAGAAAAGCAGCAGGUUAAUACCCCGCUGUUCUGACGGUACCCAAAGAAUAAGCACCGGCUAACUUCGUG
rnacentral:rRNA from 1 species